rnacentral:rRNA from 1 species
UACGGAGGGGACUAGCGUUGUUCGGAAUUACUGGGCGUAAAGCGCACGUAGGCGGAUUUGUAAGUCAGGGGUGAAAUCCCGGGGCUCAACCUCGGAACUGCCUUUGAUACUGCAAAUCUCGAGUCCGGAAGAGGUGAGUGGAAUUCCUAGUGUAGAGGUGAAAUUCGUAGAUAUUAGGAAGAACACCAGUGGCGAAGGCGGCUCACUGGCCCGAUACUGACGCUGAGGUGCGAAAGCGUGGGGAGCAAACAGG